GUAGAUUGUUGUUGUGGCUAGCAGGCUAUCACUUUUAUUCAUUUCUAGCAUUUAUGUUGACUCUAUGAGAUUCGUUUUAUGCUAUGAAUGUUUGGGAGAUGGGGAGACAUAUGGGCAGCACGCUAUAGAGGUGCCAAUCAAAAUCUGAAUGUUUGUUUCAAUUUGUAAAACAUGGUGUAUAGUUAUACCUUUCAACGGUUGGUCUAUUUCGUAGAAGUUCGGGCUAUUCAACGGAGUCGUUGAUUCUCUUGACGCAAUUUCCAGAUACGCUACAUGAUUUGUCAAUUGUGUGAAUCAUUGUUGUACAAAGAAAGAUCGACCAUGAACUGAGGAAAAUACAUUUGCACACAUGUGACGGAAGUCGUCACGAAGGGGUAAAUAUUACACGCUAAUGUUUUGCAUGUUUAACCAUGUAAAUAUCAAUAGUCCUGAUAUCGAUGUAAUGGAAUUUGUAUAUUAUCCGGUUAUCAAUCAAAAGAAUGCCACCUCGGAAAUGUCUUUGCAAUGCUACUGUUGGUUUGCAUUCUACAUGUAUUUAGCGGAUGUGAGACCGAUAGCGCCUUCCGGGAAAAUGUGAAGGGUAUGCGCUAUUUUUUUUUUUUCAAAUCAAAAUUCUUUAUAAGGACUUUUUCAAAGUUAGCAGAUCAACAGUACAUUCUAGAAAAUUUAUAUAUUCGACUUCCAAAGUUCACUUGCACCCACUAUGGUUGCUUCAAUGAGCAAUAUCACAAGUGUUUUUGAAUGUUUGAUUUUGCCACGGAACUUUAGCAUUGCUAUAUAUUUAUUUUUGUUAGUUACACGGAAGAAUACGCCAUGAUGACAACCUUGUUUUAAAAUAUUCUUUUCUUCAAUCUCUGUGUGUAUCGAUAAGAGGCAGCAGGUGUGGUCAUUGCAGAUUACCUAGCUUGUCCAUGGGGUGGGAUGGGACAGCAAACAUUUGUUUUUUCCGCAGGACAAGAUAACGCUUGUGAAACGUAAGACAAAUGGGACAAUUUUAAUAGGAUUACGUUUUGUGUGUCAAUAAAAUUAUCUUUAUGUCCUCAGCGGCGCGGUUUAAACAUGAUAAUGAGAUAACGUGGUAUCACGAUAUUGUGUAUACCGCGUAUAA